rnacentral:rRNA from 1 species
ACGGAAGGCAGCAGUGGGGAAUAUUGCACAAUGGGCGAAAGCCUGAUGCAGCAACGCCGCGUGAAGGACGACGUAUUUCGGUAUGUAAACUUCUAUCAGCAGGGAAGAUAAUGACGGUACCUGACUAAGAAGCCCGGCUAACUACGUGCCAGCAGCCGCGGUAAUACGUAGGGGGCAAGCGUUAUCCGGAUUUACUGGGUGUAAAGGGAGCGUAGGCGGCCAUGCAAGUCAGAAGUGAAAACCCGGGGCUCAACUCCGAGGACUGCUUUUGAAACUGUAAGGCUGGAUUUCUGGAGAGGUAAGCGGAAUUCCUAGUGUAGCGGUGAAAUGCGUAGAUAUUAGGAGGAACACCAGUGGCGAAGGCGGCUUACUGGACGGAUAAUGACGCUGAGGCUCGAAAGCGUGGGGAGCAAACAGGAUUAGAUACCCUGGUA